GAUGAACGCUGGCGGCGUGCCUAAUACAUGCAAGUCGAGCGAACAGACGAGGAGCUUGCUCCUCUGACGUUAGCGGCGGACGGGUGAGUAACACGUGGAUAACCUACCUAUAAGACUGGGAUAACUUCGGGACACCGGAGCUAAUACCGGAUAAUAUAUUGAACCGCAGGGUUCAAUAGUAAAAGACGGCUUUGCUGUCACUUAUCGAUGGAUCCCGGCCGCAUUAGCUGGUUGGUAAGGUAACGGCUUUCCACGGCAACGAUGCGUAACCGACCGGAGAGAGUGAUAGCCGACACGGGAGCUGAGACGCGGUCCAUACGCCUACGGGAGGCAGCAGUAGGGAACGUUCCGCAAUGGGCGGAAGCCUGGCGGAGCGACGCCGCGUGAGUGAUGAAGGUCUCCGGAGCGUAAAACUCUGUUAUUAGGGAUGAACCAAUGUGUAAGUAGCUAUGCACGUCUUGACGGUAACUGAUCAGAAAGCCACGGCUAACUACGUG
rnacentral:rRNA from 1 species